rnacentral:rRNA from 1 species
CAGUAGCCGCGGUAAUACGAAGGGGGCUAGCGUUGCUCGGAAUUACUGGGCGUAAAGGGAGCGUAGGCGGGUCGUUUAGUCAGAGGUGAAAUCCCGGGGCUCAACCUCGGAACUGCCUUUGAUACUGGCGACCUUGAGUAUGGGAGAGGUGAGUGGAACUCCGAGUGUAGAGGUGAAAUUCGUAGAUAUUCGGAAGAACACCAGUGGCGAAAGCGACUCACUGGCCCAUUACUGACGCUGAGGCUCGAAAGCGUGGGGAGCAAACAGGAUUAGAGACCCCCGUAGUCCCUGUCUCUUAUAC